rnacentral:rRNA from 1 species
AUUGAACGCUGGCGGCAGGCCUAACACAUGCAAGUCGAGCGGAUGAAGGGAGCUUGCUCCUGGAUUCAGCGGCGGACGGGUGAGUAAUGCCUAGGAAUCUGCCUGGUAUUGGGGGAUAACGUCCGGAAACGGGCGCUAAUACCGCAUACGUCCUGAGGGAGAAAGUGGGGGAUCUUCGGACCUCACGCUAUCAGAUGAGCCUAGGUCGGAUUAGCUAGUUGGUGGGGUAGAGGCCUACCAAGGCGACGAUCCGUAACUGGUCUGAGAGGAUGAUCAGUCACACUGGAACUGAGACACGGUCCAGACUCCUACGGGAGGCAGCAGUGGGGAAUAUUGGACAAUGGGCGAAAGCCUGAUCCAGCCAUGCCGCGUGUGUGAAGAAGGUCUUCGGAUUGUAAAGCACUUUAAGUUGGGAGGAAGGGCAGUAAGUUAAUACCUUGCUGUUUUGACGUUACCAACAGAAUAAGCACCGGCUAACUUCGUG